rnacentral:RNase_P_RNA from 1 species
GGAUCGGGCAGCUGCGGUUAGAAGCGAAAGCGACUAUCCGAGGAAAGUCCGAGCUCCACAGAGCAAUAAUAACGGCUAACGGCCGCCGGGGGUGACCCCAGGGAUAGUGCAACAGAAAAUAACCGCCGAUUUUCGGCAAGGAUGGAAAGGUGAGGUAAGAGCUCACCGGUGCUGCGGAGACGCAGCAGCCGUGUAAACCCUAUUUGGAGCAACACCGUGGUAGGACAUAUAUGCUUGCUCGGCAGUCCUUUGGAGGUGGCAUUGAGCAAUGGCGGCAACGCCUUGCCAAGAUAGAUGGCUGUCCACGACAGAACUCGGCUUACAGAUCCGGU